GGGCAGCGGAGCCGGUGAAGGAAGCCGCAGGCGCGGAUGGAGGCGAAGAGAUCAGGAGCAGUAAAGGAACACUCUCUUCCCCAGUCAGCUGGGAUACGGAUUUUGUAAGGCCUAGGGACUUUGUCUUUGGAGGUCCUGUCUCCAUAAGGCUUCCCAAAACAAAGAAUGUUCAGAUUGGACUGGCCUUAAAAUGCAGUAUUUAAAACAGCAACAUGUCUGACAGAUCCGAGAAAUGAAAUACGUCCAUUUCUUUUGGCAAGGAGCAGAAGGCAACAUAAAGCAGCUGCAAGAAUUAAUUCAUGGAGAUAGUUGACAUUUUCGAGCUGACUGCCUCUUAGAGAAAAUGAUGUCAUUCUCCAGCAGCCUAAUGACAGUCAUCAGCCUGAGAGGACACAUGCUAAUAAGACUAUCACCAGCAAAGAAUUUUCUGAGCAAAUGUGUACUGGAGACCUUCUGAGGAACCCACUAGAGCCUGCACAUCCCCUUUUCCUAGCAAGGUCAACUGGAAAACAGUGUUCUUUCCAAGAUAACGUGCAACUUUCCUUUGGAAUGAUCAGCAGAAUGUCAAAUAAGGAAAGGACAUGUAGAGUUCAUGGGAGGAGACAUUACUUCUGGCUGCAGAAUUAUGGAGGCUUUAUGGGAGACGCCGUAUAUUUUAUCUGUGCGCCUUGAUCACGUGUCUGACCAUGGACAGAGAAACCAGCCUAAUGAGCCUUCUUUACAGGAAGCCCCAAGCUGUUUUCCAAAGUGGUUGUACCAUUUUACAUUCUCACCAGCAAUGUACCAGGGAUGUUUCAUGAACCUUCUAAUUCUUUCCUACUGUGGAUGUUAGUUGGCAUUUUGUAUUGAAUUUCAACAUUUGAGAAUAAGUCAUGGGUCCAGCUAAUCUGCAUAGACCAAUUUGGAGCAGCAUCCUUAAUGAGUGGUGAACUUUCUCUGUUCUCCAGACAAUAUCAACUCUGCCACUUGAAACCAAGGCUUCUAAUGACAUGAACUGAAGGAAAAGUCUUGAUUUCAGAUUUUUGUUUGGCCUGUUUCAUCUCCAUUUGCCGACCCUGGAUUACGCAGAUAGUGCACUGCUUUUAGUAAUCUAGGCCCUUGUGCCAGACCUUGACUGUCAUACUGCAUUAUAACUGAUGGUUCAAAUGCUUCUUUUACAUAAGGAGUAUUUUCUUCCCAGAGAUACCUCUAAGAUAUUCAUGGCUAACUAAAAAUACUCCUGAAUGCUGUUCUCAAGUAGAGUUUCAAGGUCAACAUGAAAAUUGUUAUCACUCUCUUAUGUGACAUAAAAAAAUCUGUUUUAUCUUUGUAACAAUGCUUUCAUUAAAAAAAAAAAAAAGCUUUGCAAUUCCUCUGCUACACUAGUGUUUUCUCAGAUACCAAACAGGCUAUGCCUUGAUGGCAAGAAGAACAAGUUAUGAUUAUUUAUAUGCCAGUGUGCACUUGUUUCCAUCUAGAGUUAUAAACAAUUAGUUUAUGAUAAUCAAUUGUGACAGCAAAAAGGAUUUCUACUCCACUAGCUUAUAUUUCUAAUAACAGAGAAACAGAAGUAAUUUUGAUAAUGUCUUACGUGUCCAGUGAAGUAAUUUCCCUGUUACUGGCUUUUAGCAAGAAUUUAUAAUUAAAUCAGAGAGAAAAAAACACUGGCAGCCAACAUUGUGUCACAUUUAUUUCAAGUGUAAUGUCAAAAAUUUCAUGGAUGGUCACUUGGACAUUGAAAGAGCAAAAAGAUUAGAGAGCAGAAUGGGAUGAUGAGAGGUUCUGUUCAUUUUCCUGCCUUCCCAAAGUAAGAAGGGCAAAUCAAGUAUAAAUAAAACUAUUGCCUUAAUGAGGCUCUUGAGUUUCUGCCUAAACCAACAACGGGAAUAAUGGAAAUCCGCCCCAAAAGUAAUUCUUUUAUAUCUGUUAUUUAAAAGAAGUUGUCUACACACACACACACACACACACACACACACACAUUCACUCAUUAAGAAUUUGAAAAAAAUAUUUAUCUACCUCCUUCUUUCCUAUGUCUGCAUAUGCAUUUUUCUUUUGAAAAAGGCUGUAGAUGAAAAAGAAAAACAUUUACAGC
rnacentral:lncRNA from 1 species